ensembl:misc_RNA
UUUUGGGGCCGUGUUUACCGACUCUUCUUCUCUGCCUCUGCCCUGCUCAGCCUGGGCUUUGAGCCUCUUUGGUUUUCCAGCCAGACCCGGAAAAACGAAAAUACAGCUUGGGGAGCCCCUACUAGCCGGCGCCUGUGCCAGCUCACCUCUGGCCAUGACGGCAGCUGCCGGUGCACAAGGCGGCCAAAGCCAGCUCCACAGUCUUCCCUCCCCCUCCCACUUCACCGGAGCUCCGAACCCUGCGUGCAGAGGAAGGGCCUCAGCUCCACAGACGACUGGGUCCCUCCUCACCAAAAAUGGUGAGACAAGAUUUCAUCUUGUCCGCCGAGGAGCCACAAGCAG